rnacentral:ribozyme from 1 species
GAUAAUGCGACUCAGCGCUUGACAUGGCAGGACCCUCUGUUGCGACUGGCGCUAGACGUGGCACGAGGGAUGCACUACUUACACAUGCGCGAGUACUU